rnacentral:rRNA from 1 species
UUUGUGACAUACCUAUAACUGUUGCUUCGGCGGGUAGGGUCUCCGCGACCCUCCCGGCCUCCCGCCUCCGGGCGGGUCGGCGCCCGCCGGAGGAUAACCAAACUCUGAUUUAACGACGUUUCUUCUGAGUGGUACAAGCAAAUAAUCAAAACUUUUAACAACGGAUCUCUUGGUUCUGGCAUCGAUGAAGAACGCAGCGAAAUGCGAUAAGUAAUGUGAAUUGCAGAAUUCAGUGAAUCAUCGAAUCUUUGAACGCACAUUGCGCCCGCCAGCAUUCUGGCGGGCAUGCCUGUUCGAGCGUCAUUUCAACCCUCAAGCUCUGCUUGGUGUUGGGGCCCUACAGCUGAUGUAGGCCCUCAAAGGUAGUGGCGGACCCUCCCGGAGCCUCCUUUGCGUAGUAACUUUACGUCUCGCACUGGGAUCCGGAGGGACUCUUGCCGUAAAACCCCCCAAUUUUCCAAAGGUUGACCUCGGAUCAGGUAGGAAUACCCGCUGAACUUAAGCAUAUCAAUAAGCGGAGGA